GACGAACGCUGGCGGCGUGCUUAACACAUGCAAGUCGAACGGUGAAGCCCCAGCUUGCUGGAGUGGAUCAGUGGCGAACGGGUGAGUAACACGUGAGCAACCUGCCCCAGACUCUGGAAUAAGCGCUGGAAACGGCGUCUAAUACUGGAUACGAGAUCAAGCCGCAUGGUUAUGGUCUGGAAAGUUUUUCGGUUUGGGAUGGGCUCGCGGCCUAUCAGCUUGUUGGUGAGGUAAUGGCUCACCAAGGCGACGAAGGGUAGCCGGCCUGAGAGGGCGACCGGCCACACUGGGACUGAGACACGGCCCAGACUCCUACGGGAGGCAGCAGUGGGGAAUAUUGCACAAUGGGCGAAAGCCUGAUGCAGCGACGCCGCGUGAGGGAUGACGGCCUUCGGGUUGUAUACCUCUUUCAGCAGGGAAGAAGCGAAAGUGACGGUACCUGCAGAAGAAGCACCGGCUAACUACGUG
rnacentral:rRNA from 1 species